GAAGCUGGAUUCGCUAGUAAUCGCGCAUCAGCCACGGCGCGGUGAAUACGUUCCCGGGUCUUGUACACACCGCCCGUCACACCAUGGGAGUCGGAUAUGCCCGAAGCCGGUGACCUAACCGCAAGGAAGGAGCCGUCGAAGGUGGAGCCGAUGACUGGGGUGAAGUCGUAACAAGGUAUC
rnacentral:rRNA from 1 species